CCGCCCCUCGCGAGCAAGAGCCGGCGCACGAGCGCCACUCGGUGCCCGCCUAGAGCUGAAUCUCAGCCUCGUCCUCCUCCUACCCCCACCCACAGGCAGAAGGUGCCGGUGCAAAUUCAACCAGCAGCAGAGGACUGGGGAACCUGAUGAAGAGGAGGGAACUUUCCGCAGCUCCAUCCGCCGUCUGUCCACCCGCAGGCGGUAGAGACACCUGGCGUGAUGGAACCCAGCCAGGUCCUGCAGCUCGGGCUAGGCUGGGGGAUGGGGGGAGGAGAAGGGGGCAAAGGGUGGGGUGGGAUGGCUGGGGGGCUCUCUGGCCUCUCACC